CGGGUGCACUGAUCCGGCCGGGCCUUUCCCUCUGUGGAACCCCCAUGGCCUUCACUGGCUGUGCGGGGGAAACAGGACUUUUACUGUGAAAAAAUUAGAGUGCUCCAGGCAGGCCUAUGCUCGAAUACAUUAGCAUGGAAUAAUAGAAUAGGACGCGUGGUUCUAUUUUGUUGGUUUCUAGGACCGCCGUAAUGAUUAAUAGGGACAGUCGGGGGCAUCAGUAUUCAAUUGUCAGAGGUGAAAUUCUUGGAUCUAUUGAAGACUAACUACUGCGAAAGCAUUUGCCAAGGAUGUUUUCAUUGAUAAGGAACGAAAGUUAGGGGAUCGAAGACGAUCAGAUACCGUCGUAGUCUUAACUAUAAACUAUGCCGACUAGGGAUCGGACGAUGUUAUUUCUUGACGCGUUCGGCACCUUUCGAGAAAUCAAAGUGCUUGGGCUCCAGGGGGAGUAUGGUCGCAAGGCUGAAACUUAAAGAAAUUGACGGAAGGGCACCACCAGGGGUGGAACCUGCGGCUUAAUUUGACUCAACACGGGGAAACUCACCAGGUCCAGACACAGUGAGGAUUGACAGAUUGAGAGCUCUUUCUUGAUUCUGUGGGUGGUGGUGCAUGGCCGUUCUUAGUUGGUGGAGUGAUUUGUCUGCUUAAUUGCGAUAACGAACGAGACCUUAACCUGCUAAAUAGCCCGUACUGCUCUGGCAGUUCGCCGGCUUCUUAGAGGGACUAUCGG
rnacentral:rRNA from 1 species